GUACAUUUUUAAAACACAAUUGUCUACCAUUUUACUACAACAAUAUCAAGAAUUUCUAGAACAAAACGUUUUCCCCCGUUUUGGUAGGAUUUUAUCCUGCGGGCACGCUUGCUGACGUGAUGGUGCUCAUGACAGAUCAGUGGCGGGUUCAAGGGAAAGGUGACCAAGAGGGUCCGCCCUUGAUAGUUAUAUCAUAUUUGUAGUUGU